rnacentral:rRNA from 1 species
CAGAGCAAUCUGUGUGACUGCGUACCUUUUGUAUAAUGGGUCAGCGACUUAUAUUCUGUAGCAAGGUUAACCGAAUAGGGGAGCCGAAGGGAAACCGAGUCUUAACUGGGCGUUAAGUUGCAGGGUAUAGACCCGAAACCCGGUGAUCUAGCCAUGGGCAGGUUGAAGGUUGGGUAACACUAACUGGAGGACCGAACCGACUAAUGUUGAAAAAUUAGCGGAUGACUUGUGGCUGGGGGUGAAAGGCCAAUCAAACCGGGAGAUAGCUGGUUCUCCCCGAAAGCUAUUUAGGUAGCGCCUCGUGAAUUCAUCUCCGGGGGUAGAGCACUGUUUCGGCAAGGGGGUCAUCCCGACUUACCAACCCGAUGCAAACUGCGAAUACCGGAGAAUGUUAUCACGGGAGACACACGGCGGGUGCUAACGUCCGUCGUGAAGAGGGAAACAACCCAGACCGCCAGCUAAGGUCCCAAAGUCAUGGUUAAGUGGGAAACGAUGUGGGAAGGCCCAGACAGCCAGGAUGUUGGCUUAGAAGCAGCCAUCAUUUAAAGAAAGCGUAAUAGCUCACUGGUCGAGUCGGCCUGCGCGGAAGAUGUAACGGGGCUAAACCAUGCACCGAAGCUGCGGCAGCGACACUGUGUGUUGUUGGGUAGGGGAGCGUUCUGUAAGCCUGUGAAGGUGUGCUGUGAGG